ACUGGACCGUUCGCCGUGGUGGCGUACGGAGACGCGUUCCCACCAGUGCUGCCGCCAUAUUCUCCAACAUUUGGAUUUGUCUUUGCUGCUGCAACAAAUUUAAAUUCUUCUUUUUAUUUGAAAAACUUUUUUGCAAGAUGUCAAUGCCCUUCGUACGUGUCAAACGUGUACAAGAAAGAGGUUAAAAGUAAUCUAUACAGAAUGAAACUCAACUUUGGUCCACCAAUCGACAGCCGUUUGUUGUCCAACACAGCUGGUCAGUGUUCUAAGGAGUGAACCUGUCCACCCUCUAUCGAAGACCGAUAGGGUUAAGCCCUAAAUCUGGAUCAAAUUGCAUCAGCUGUUGUCAAGGACGGUCAAUAACGAAGCUCGACGAGUAUUCGUCGCGAAAAAUUCUUCAAAGAGAGAGAAAGAGAGAGAGUAUCGUGGAAUAUCGAAUGGACGACGUGACGAAAAGCAGAGCGCAACAACCGGCGUAAUCGGUUCCGAGAAGGAGCCGAGUGGAAAGCAAUUGACGAAGUCGAUUCGAAGGUUGCCUCGAUACGUGACGCGACGUCGUAAAACAGGAGUUGCCGCAAGAAAGCGCGCGGUUAUGACGUGGAUAUCGUAAGCGGAGGAACGUAAAAUUGAAAUGAGAAAAACACAGGUCGGUUCGAAUUUUCUUCUACCGCCGAUUUACACCGAUUUCCAACCGUUCUCCUCUUCUCUGCGUUACUCGUUUCGAGACGACGCUUGGACCAACCAUUUUCGACUUUAUCUCGAUUUUUUCUUUCCGAGUUUGUGACUCGCUCGAAUUAAAAUUUGGAAAAUUAUUCCACCGAAAAAUAUCCAAUAUCCGUUAAUUCUGUCUCCACGUUUCCAAAUAAAUCGUACAAUUGAUUUUCUCUGAAAGAAGGAGCAAGAAAAAUUCGAAGAGUUACCCGACGAUCGAUUAAAUUUCGAAAUAAAUGGUCGAAGGAUGGAAAGCUGCGCGGAAAGAGAAGGGUGUUCUCGAUUCGAAGUAACGAGAUGGGCGGAGCAGAGUGGAGCAGGAGGAGAGGGGAGAGUUUUCGGGCAGAUUUUGGCCGUGGAGAAGUUUUUCGGUUGGCCAGGGGACGCACAAUAGUAUUUUUUCCCUCGUUGCCUCCAUAAUGCGUUCCAUGCGGGGGGUGCAGGAGGCGACGCGUGUUGUGUGGACCACCCUUCUCCCCGUGGAGGACGUGGAGAAGCGAGUGAAUGAAGGAAGGAGGGGAGGAGGGAGCGGAGGGCGUCGCACGAGGCGCACGCUGUCAGCCCCUUCCCGAUUUAUCAUUACACCAUUCCGUUUCUUCUCUCUUUCUCCCUCUCGUGAUCGGCCCACGGAUUGGUGCACACGGAUGGAGAAAGAAAGAGAAGAGACGCUCCCGAUUCCGUGGAUUCGUUUCGAUCGAGAAGAGGAGAAGAUUGGAUUGGCUCGAAAGAGAAUUAUUUCGGAUUAUUUGAAAGUUAGUUGAAACUUGAGUCUGGAAUCUGAAUUGGCGAGGAAGCUUGAGAAAAAGGAGGAUGUUUUCUCACGAUUGAAGAAUUUUAAUUAUUUUCAAAAUUUCGUUUCAAUCACUUUCAAAGCUUGAUGAGGGGACAAUUUUUUCAUGGUUGAAGGGGAAUAAGAGAGUACUUUCGAGUUUGAAGAGAAAAUAAAUUUUAGUACUUUUAUUCAAGAAAAAUCAAUUCUAAUUUUCAAUUACAUCAACUUGUCAAAUCAAUAACUUACAAAAAAUGGUAGCAAAUAUAAAAUCAUCGAUGGAGGAUCCUUAAAUUCUAUCUUCAAAAUAGAAUUAAAAAUUUACUUUUUUCAAUUUCAAAGUGCUUUUAUAAAUUAAUAAUGAAUUAAUUCUAAUUUUCAAUCACAUCUUGUUAAUAACUUACAAAAAAUGAUAGCAAAUGUAAAAUCAUCUGCAAUGCAUAUUCAAAUAAGAAUUCUAAUUAAUUAUAUUCAAAAUUUACUUUAUUUCAGAGUACUUUCGAGUUUGAAGAGAAAAUAAAUUUUAGUACUUUUAUUCAAGAAAAAUCAAUUCUAAUUUUCAAUUACAACAUCUUGUCAAUAACUUACAAAAAAUUAUAGCAAAUAUAAAAUCAUCUGCAAUGAAACAUUCGAUGAAACAUUGUUAAAUUCUAUUCUCACACGAAUAAUUGCAUAUAUCCUUGCAAAUGUAAGAGAAUGCAUAUUCAAAUAAGAAUUCUAAUUAAUUAUAUUCAAAAUUUACUUCAUUUCUAAUUUCAGAGUCUACAUGUCUUAAGAAAGAGAAAAUAAACUUCGUUUAAUAAACUCAAACAUUCUAAAUUCAAUCUUUAAUCACAAAAAUCUGGUCAAAUUAACAAAAGAAAUAAUUGCAUAUUUCUUGCAAAUGUAAGAGAAUGCAUAUUCAAAUAAGAAUUCUAAUUAUAUUCAAAAUUUACUUCAUUUCUAAUUUCAGAGUGUUUUUGAUUCUCAACAAAUAAACUUCAAAAGAAAUAAUUGCAUAUAUCCUUGCAAAUGUAAGAGAAUGCAUAUUCAAAUAAGAAUUAUAAUUAAUUAUAUUCAAAUUUUCAUUUCUAAUUUCAGAGUGCUUUUGAGUCUCAACAAAUAAACUUUGUUUAAUAAACUUUUACUCAAACAUUCUUAAUUCAACCUUUAAUCACAAAAAUCUUGUCAAACUAACAAAAAUAAUUGCAUAUAUCCUUGCAAAUGUAAGAGAAUGCAUAUUCAAAUAAGAAUUCUAAUUAUAUUCAAAAUUUACUUCAUUUUGAGUCUCAACAAAGAGAAAAUAAACUUCGUUUAAUAAACUCAAACAUUCUAAAUUCAAUCUUUAAUCAAAGAAAUCUUGUCAAACUAACAACUUACAAAAGAAAUUAAUACAAAAUCAUCUUCAAUCACCGAUGAAUCAUAGUUAAAUUCUAAUUUCACGAAUAAUUGCACGUAUUGUUGAAAUAUAUACAAGCAACGUGGAUGAAAAUUCACUAAAAAUCUAAAAUCACCCGAAAGAGAGAGGAAGAAGGAGAUAGCCGUUAGAAUGGAAAGGACAAGGACGGCGAGAGAGUUUCGUUCGCAUGUCUCGGUGUAAUAAGCGUCACCCUCGGUGACUUCUCGGCUGGUGUUAUUAAUUCGAUUAUAAUGAGCUAUUAAGGGAAACGCUGGUAAUCCUGACAAGCUCCAUUUGAACGAUACCAGGCUUAGCCGCCGAUUCCCUCCAACCCCUGCCUCGCUGUUAAGCAAAUUAGCUCCCCCAGAGUGGGGCAGCCCUGCUCGAACCGUGGCCGGCAUCCUCUUAUCGCAUCACGACCACGUUGAUUUCAAUUUUUCCCAACAAUUUUUCCAAAACUCACUCGACCCGAAUUUCUCCCUCGUUUUCCUAUCCUUCUCUCCUUUCCCCAUAUUUAUUCUCCCGUGGAACAAUUUUUCGAAAUUUCACAAUUCUAUUAUCCCAUUAUCGAUCGAUUCUUCGUCGACUCCGAAAUCAUCCAGGCGAAUCGAAUUAUUCCUGUUUCCUCGACGAAUUCCUCUCUCGAGACUGGUCGAGCGAGAAAAAUUCGUAUUCGAUCCGUAUUCGAACGAGUUAUUACCACGUUCCACGACUUUUAUACGCUUUCCAAUAAUAAUUAGACACAUUUAUGCAUAUAAAUCGUUUUCAACGAUCGCUUUCGAAACGGUAAAUUGUUCCUCCUCCUCGCAUUCAAUUUUGAAUCAAUUUAUCCGGUAUUUAUCUCUAAUCCGAUCCCUUAUUUGCCUGCUUCGUCUCUUUUUCUUUUACGUCCUCCUCCUCCUCUUACUCCAACUCGUUUCGAUUAAUUUUUCGAUCGGAUUUGGUUUUCAUUUUUUAAUUUUUCUUCCAAUUUUAAUUUUUCGAAACGAUCGAAUAGAUUACGCGUCGUGAAAAUAUAUCGGCUUUUAAUUAAAGCCUCAGGGAGACGAGAUAUCCGUUAUCGGCGUUGUAGUCUCCCUCGAAAUAAUCAGAUAACCGCAGAGUGCAAGAAUUUUCGUUCUUAAGCGCGGAUCUUAUCGGGAUGGGGCGCGGAGGGGGCAGCUUUUCGAUAUCUCGCGCGGCCAUCGUCGAAUUCAGCGCGCGCGAUAACAGCGUGUGUUUUCCAACGGAGCAAUAUUUUUUCUUUUUCCUCCUCUCCGCAUACUUUCCCCUGUAAAUACGAAUAAUCCGAUCGAGGGAUCGAUAUUAUCUCCUAUAAUAUUUAAUAUUCCGAGCUUGCUUAGGUAAAAAAAUAAUUUUCGAAAAAUCUGCGAAGAUGGAAAAAAAUAAUCUUCUCUCUUCGAUUUAUCGUUGAUUUCGAUCUCUUUUACCAAAAAAAAAAAAAAAAGAACGACUUUAGAUCGUGAUCACGAAAUUUAUAAAUUAUUAUUUCGAUAAAUAUUCACGUAAAGUAUGUAGAAAGAUCUUGAAAGACUGACUAGCAGGCGCCACGAAUGAAAAUAUCAAAGAUCUACGUAAGUGGAAUAAUCGAGAGUGAUUUGUCGGAGAGAUAGGCGAGGAGAGAGGUUCGCAACGCUGUUGAUUUAUGGUUACCGGGCUGCGAUAUUCUUGUAAAAUGGCUGGUAUCUAUCUGUGCAUAAUCUUAUCAGCCGCGUUUACGAUUGUCGCAUAAACGUAAACAACCUCAGCCCGGGAUAUAAAUAUCCGAUAAAUAAAUCCCUCUUAUCGAAUUUUGAUUCGUACCCGAAGAAGAAAUACCUAUUUUGCUCCAACGUUCGAACGUUCUCGAACGUCGUUUUUCUUUUUCCUGAAAUUAUAUAAUCGAGAGAAAGAGAGAGAGAGAGAGAUGAAAUCGUCCUCGAGAACGAUCGGUAUUUUAAAGCCUAGCGAUUAUUUUCCCUUAUCGCUCGUUUCUUGAUAACAAUUAAUAAGUUGAAAUAAGACCUAACCUCAAUUUUAAGGAUUUUUUAAAUAGAAAAGCCGCAACGAUCGUUCCAAGCAAAUCGUCGAUCUUUGUAUUUUUCAAACGUUGGAAAUUUCAACUUCAAAUGCGGUCGAAAGAAAGGAGUGAUAUCGUUAGAAAUUUUAAAACUCGUGCGUCGUUUUCCAAGAGAAAAAGAAGAACCGAGAGAGGCAAAUCGUCACUGUGAACAACAUAUUAUCUCUGAAUUUCGUUUUAUUCUUUUUCAAAACAAUUAUUCGUUUAUUACGAGCAAGGAAUAAUUCCUUUCUGGAUAAACAUCUCCCUAGUUCCCAGAACGAGACAAUUUGUUUAAACUUGUUUCGAGUGUCGCGACACGGCUCAAUUGCCACUCGUUGACGACACUUUACGCAAGUCGGUGGAUCUGGAAUGGCCGCCGCCUCUGGUCCACCACACUUUGGCAAGCGAGAUUUCGCCUGGGUGGUGAGCGACGAAAUGAAGAUUGACGGACAAGUAAAAAUGUUGGCGUUACUCAUUGGCCGACGACCUACUGGCUUUGAAACCAACGCGUAACGAGAUUAAUAAAACGUGACGCGUGAUUCCGGUUGCACGUGCUCUCGAAUACCCUGCUCCUCCGUUCCUGCUUAUCGACGUACCACGACUCGUUACAAUCCUUCGCUUUUCAAUUCGACGUAUUUUCCGGAAUAACAGAUUCGUAAGUAAACUCGAAUCGAAUUAACCUUUAUUUCCAAGAAUUAUUAUAUAUCAGCCCGAUAUAUAAAUAAAAUCGUAGAAAGCACGAUCCAAGCCUGGAUCGUUAAUAAUCUCUCAGCAGAUAAAAAUCGAAUCGAGAAACGUGUCUACGUACCGACUGGCUUGGGCACGUUUCUCUUCACUUGCAUCCACUUGUACGUAGGUACGUGCGGCUGCUGCUGCUGCUGCUGCGAUUGAGGAUGGUGCUGCUGCUGCUGCUGCUGAUGAUGAUGCUGAAGGUGCUGGGGAUGCUGGCCCGCCGACGUUUGCUGCAGCGAGAUUUGAUAGCACGACGGAUCCGACUGACUCUCCUCCUUGUAGUGCCCCCCCACGUUAUAAUCGUUCUGACGUAUCUGCGAGUGAUAGUGCAACGAAUCCUCGGGCGCCGUUUGUAUCUGGUGGAUGUAAUUGGACGUGGCGCCUCCGGCCACCGGAAGCUGUUGAUACUCGGCCUCGUUGUGAUGGUGAUGGUGAUGACUAGAGGAUGACGAUGACUGGUGGUGGUGAUGGUGGUGGUGCAACUGGUGGUGGUGGUGCUGGCUCUCGUGCUCGGCCGUGCUCCUCGUCGCGUGGGUCAUCAUCGAGGCGCCCUGCGGGUGCACGUUCCCCGCCGAUUGCUGGGGGUCGUGGUGGUGAUGGUGGUGGUGGUGGUGAUCCCUGGUGUACCCCGUUUGCUGGACGUGGUGGUGGUGGUGGUGGUGGUGGUGGUAGCCCUGGUGGUGAGGAUCCGCCGAUCCAUUUCCGUACGAGGGGGUCGGGGGGGAGGUGGAGGAGGAGGAGGCGGUGUAGUCCAAAUUCGUGUAACUCAGCCCGUUCUCGGAGGAGAUGAUCGCGGAUCCGUCCUCGUGCAGCACGGCCGACGGGGAGUAGAAGGUUUGCUGGGGCGGGGUGCCGGAGGAAGCGGCCGAUUCCGCGGCGAGGAAGCUCUCCGAGGAGGAGGAGGAGUAAGGGGAGACCGCCGACUGGGGGAAGUAGUGGGUCGGGGCCAGCUCGGGCGAGGCCGGGACGGGCACGUGGCCCCCGGCCGCGGUUUGGUGGUGGUGGUGAUGAUGAUGAUGGUGAUGAUGAUUCCCUUGACCCGUGCAAACGUAGUUGGGAUACGAGUCAGGCUUGCCGUAAGUUCCGUACAUGCCCAUGUCCAUCAUCAUCAUCCUCGUCGCGUCGAGGCGAAUGCAUCAAUUGCGCGGUAGCCGCCACCUGCCGCUCCGCGGACCACCACUGGUGUCCUUGACGCGCGCACUCUUCGCGAGGAGGAGGGAAGAGAGGAGGGGGAGAGAGAGAGAGAGAGAGAGAGAGAGGAUUCAAUCGGCCAAUUAGCUCACAUCGCGCGAUGUACGGGAUACGGUAUCCUGUCGCUCGUCCUACACUCGUCUCCGUCUCGUUCGUUAAAUUCGACGUUUAAUAAUCGCGAUGCUCGAUCCCUUCUUCCUUCCUUUCAACUUUCGAUUCACACAGAGAUAAUCGCACAGCUUCCUCUCGCGCACUUGUCGUUCCUCUUGUUUUAUUUCAUUCGGGUCGAGGCUCCUCCACUGCCGUCCAAAAUUAACUGCCGUUUACUACUCUUUUUUCUCUCUCUCUCUCUCGCGAAACGGCGUUAUAGAUCCCGAGGCAGAUCCAUAUUUGUUACUAUACGGUAUAGAUACGCGGGGAACUCGUUCGUCGAUGCUCGAGUCGCGAUAAACGGUGGUGGAGAAGCGGACGCGUCGUCGAUCCGGUCGACGAGGGUCGCUGAAGUGGACUGGCUAGGUGGAGUGGACUGGCGGAAAGGCGGCACGGUCGAAGGCAGCACACGCAGGUAGGCAUAUUGGCAGGCGGAGGGGAAAAAAGGAGGGGAGGGGAGCCGGUCGACCGAAGGUUUGUGUCAGAUGCGGUCGCGAUAUCGGCGUCUCCUCCAAGCCGUGUACCUGUCAUUUUCGGUGACCGUGUCAUUCAGCCGGAGCUCUUCCCUUUCCUCCUCCUGCAGACCAGAGGAACGAGACUAACCGAAGCUAGGCUUGGAGAUAAGGAUAGGCCGGAUACCUGAAGCGAACGAUCGCCAAUGCUCGCGUGGUAUUCUCUCCUCGGAAUCGAACUUGUGUGAAGAUACGUAUCCGAGGAGAUGCUAAUUAAUGCGCGCCAGAAGAAAGCACGAGCGCGCCCGAGAUAAUGAUCCGGUUUCGACGACGAUUCGAUGAUUCUCAAGAGUCAUCGUCGCGACCGCCACGUCUCCAGUUCCUCGAAUCUUAUCAAUUUUCGACGAGCUACUUCGUGAAACCGAUAAAGUUUUAAAGCGUGGAUAACCAUCGGAAAAUAAUAAAUGCUCUCUUCUUUUAGAUUAUUCUCCUCGAGAAUAUUAUUUCGCGUUUUUUAAUUAAUCGUGGAAGAAAGUUUUUAAGGAAGAAAAGUUGGAGGAGAUUCGAGGAGAGAGAAAUAUGGACGCCUGUCCGAAAUUCUUGCGAGUUCGGGCGGGCAUGUUACACGGCCAGGUACGCGGCAACUCUCUGGAGAGACCUCCGGCGUGCCUACAUGAUCCUACACUUUGUGCGAUCUCGUCCCCAAGGAUUCGUAUUCCUAGUCACGCGUUUAAUCCCUCGAAACAUGCAACCGACUCGCAGCCGUUUCCACGCUCCGGGGACCAAAAUUCACCGAGAGAAGAGUAGAGAAGAGAACAGAGAAUUCAAGUUUAGUUUGUAGAAACGUGCACGAAUGAUAUCUUGGAAGGAAAUGGAAUUUAAAAAUUAUCAAGAUGAAAAUGUUCAAUUCAAGAGAUUUAGCGUUGUUGCGCAACUAUUUGUUAGUGUACUACACGAUUAAAUUAUUAAUCUUCAAGAUUUUAUAGAAAAUUUUAUUUUUUGUAUACAAAGAUAUACAUGCAACAAUUCUUGGAACGGAUUGGAAUCUGAAAAUUAUCAAGUUACAGAUCACUGGGUUUAAAAUUUAUUACCAUAUGAUUCAUUUAUGUACAAUCAAAUUGUAGAUCAAAUUGUGUUCAAAAUAAUAUUCAAGUGUUGUGCCACUACUUAUUAUUGCACAAUUCAUUAUAUGUAAUGUCUAAAGUUUUACAAACAAUUGAACUUUAGUUUGUAAAAAUAUACAACAUCUUGGAACAGAUUGGAAUAUUCAAGAGAUUGAGUGCUAUGCUACUAUUUUUCCACCACAAUUAUAUGUAAACUCUAUUUAACUCUUUGUACAGAGAAUUGGAAUAUUCAGGAGAUUGAGUGCUGAGCAAUUAUUUACUAUUAUACUAUAUGAUUCAUUUAUGUAUAAUCUCUAAGCUUUUACGGAGAAUUUAACUUUAGUUUAUAAAAAUAUACAUCUUAGAAGGAAUUGGAAUCUGAAAAUUCACGUUCAUUUAUAUGUAAUCUCUAAGAUUUUACAAAGAAUUGAACUACAUCUUGAAACAGAUUGAAAUAUUCAAGAGAUUUAAAGCUGUGCCACUAUUUACUAUAUGAUUCAUUUAUGUGUAAUGUCUAAAGUUUCACAGAGAAUUUAACUUUAGUUUAUAGAAAUAUACAACAUCUUGGAACAACAAAUUGGAAUAUUCAAAAGAUUUAGAGCCAUUAUUUACUAUUGCACCAUAUGAUUCAUUUAUGUGUAAUCUCUAAGGUUUUACAGAGAAUUUAACUUUUAUAAAAAUAUACAUCUUGGAAGGAAUUGGAAUCUGAAAAUUAUUAAAUUACUUUAUUGUUAA